GUGUUCAGUCCGCCAUUGCAAACACGAAGCUCUUCCAGAAACGCCCUCACAGACACCCCGGAAGUCACGUACCCACUCUGUAGGUGCCCCGGGGCACAGGCAAGCGGACGAGCCAGUUAUCCCUCAGAGCUCCUGCUGCCUCGCCCGCUUUCUCUCGGAAACGUGAAGUGUGGCCUCAGCUGAAAGUGAGGUGGGCCUCAUUCAAUCAGUUGAAUUCUUCAAGAGAGAAAAACUGAAGUCCCUUAGAAGGAAAGAGUUCUGCCUUCAGACUGUCUUUGAACUUAAGACUGUAGCGUCGACUCCUGCCGGAAUUUCCAGCCUGCUGGCCAGCUCUGCAGAUUCACACUUGCCAGCCUCCACAAUCGCAGCUGAGGCGGAGGAACCCUAAGGGCUCAUUGAGAUCAUGGAUUUGCCCUUCUAUGCAUUGAUGGAGCACCUGCUGCCCACAGCGUCUGUAUUUGGUGCUGGGAUGCUGAGCCUCCUUCUUUAUGAAUUUUUAAAAGGACACUGAGAUCUUCAAACAGAGGCUGCCACUCUAAGCAAACAGAUCCCGAGCCCUGGACUCUGAAGCUUGGGCCCAGUUCUCCUUUUCUCCGGGUUUCAGAUCCCACUGUGAAGUGAGGGGGCCCUUCUGAUUCAGGACCCGGGGAAGCCAGGGGCAUGAGCAUCGGUGCCUCUUCUCUAUUUCAAGGACCCUUCUGGGUGUAAAGUUCUCUGAGAUGCCUUACAUGGAUUCCCACCACUGCAAGAUAACCAUCGUAUGUAAAGUGUUAUGACCAGCAGAGCGUAAUUGAAGUGCAUUCCAGAGGGAAAGACAGCGGCUCAGGGACAUGACCCUAUGCCAGCCCACACCACAGUCUUGGUCAUCACUCCUGUUUCCAUGGUGUUAACAGCAGCAGUUACUUGGUUACGGAGAGCUUUUCCUUACGCCAGCACCCUAUCCAUAUCGCUUGGACACCCUUGGCAACCACGUUCUACUCCUCGUUUCUACGAGUUUGGCUAUUUUAAUACCUCAUCUAAGUGGAAUUGUGCUGCAUUUGUCCUUCUGUGACCGGCUCACCUCACGUAGCGUGCUGUUCUCCAGGUUCAUCCAUGUUAUCCUGUUCAGCAGGAUUUCCUUCUCUUCUGAAGCUGAAUCAUAAUCCAUCGCUAACGUUAUCUUGUAACUCUUCUAUUAAACUCUCUAUCUCCUUAUCUCUCGAAGCUGCAUUGAGUUAUUUCUUCAGAUACAUCUUCUAGGUUCAUAUUUAUUUUUCCUUUUUUAAAAGCAAUUUCUAAUUUGUUUUAACCAUAUGCAUUAACUUUUUAACUUAAACAUUGUUUUUUAUGUAUAAAGGUUAUUUUUAGAAAAUGUUUGUUAAUUUUGUUUAUAAACUUAAAUUUAGUAAAUUGCUGGCUGGGCACAGUGGCUCAUGCCUGGCAUCCCAGCACUUUGGGAGGCCAGGGCAGGCAGAUCACUUGAGGCCAGGAGUUUGAGACCAGUCUGACCAACAUGGUGAAACCCCUUCUCUACUGAAAAUACAAAAAUUAGCUGGGUGUGGUGGUGGGCACCUGUAAUCCUAGCUCAGGAGGCUGAGGCAGGAGGAUCACUUCAACCUGGGAGGUGGAGGUUGCAGUGAGCCAAGAUCGUGCCAUUGUACUCCAGCCUGGGUGACAGAGCAAGACUCUGUCUCAGAAAAAAAAAAAAAA
ensembl:lncRNA EPIC1 epigenetically induced MYC interacting lncRNA 1